CCAACGGGAGGCAGCAGUAGGGAAUAUUGGUCAAUGGGCGCAAGCCUGAACCAGCCAUGCCGCGUGAGUGAUGAAGGCCUUCGGGUCGUAAAACUCUUUUCUGAGGGAAGAACAUCCCGCGUAGGAAAUGACGCGGGCUUGACGGUACCUCAGGAAUAAGCAACGGCUAACUCCGUGCCAGCAGCCGCGGUAAUACGGAGGGUGCGAGCGUUGAUCGGAAUAACUGGGCGUAAAGGGAGCGCAGGCGGUUGGGCAAGUCUAAAGUGAAAGCCCGGGGCUCAACUCCGGAAGUGCUUUCGAUACUGCCUUACUCGAGUGCGUGAGAGGAAAGCGGAAUUCCAGGUGUAGCGGUGAAAUGCGUAGAUAUCUGGAGGAACACCGGUGGCGAAAGCGGCUUUCUGGCACGAUACUGACGCUGAGGCUCGAAAGCGUGGGGAGCAAACA
rnacentral:rRNA from 1 species